rfam:Chrysochromulina sp. CCMP291 CAF.Contig9290, whole genome shotgun sequence.
GGGCUAUUAGCUCAGUUGGUUAGAGCGCACCCCUGAUAAGGGUGAGGUCCCAGGUUCGAAUCCUGGAUGGCCCA